GUGCGUUUAGCUCAGUGGCAGAGCAUCCGGCUUCUCUCAAAGGAGGGACCAGGUUCGAACCUCAUUCGAGCCUGUUUCAUCCGGAGAAAAGGGAGACGUGAGUUCGAGUCUCACAACGCGCU
rnacentral:tRNA from 1 species